GAUUAGCUUACCUGUAUUUGUCAAAACUUUUAGGAAUUUUUGGUCCUCAAUGCUCCUUUAUUUUGGCCCUUUUUAACUAUUUUUUCGAGUGUCACUGAUGAGUCUUUUGUAGACGAAACGCGUGUCUGCCGCAAAUACAAAUCCUGCUAUCUAUAUACGUUUAUUUAACGAACAAAUAUGACAGACAUAAACCAACGACAAUCACUG
rnacentral:lncRNA from 1 species